rnacentral:rRNA from 1 species
GUGCCAGCAGCCGCGGUAAUACCGGCAGCACGAGUGAUGGCCGAUAUUAUUGGGCCUAAAGCGUCCGUAGCUGGCCGGACAAGUCCGUUGGGAAAUCCACGUGCCUAACGGGUGGGCGUCCAGCGGAAACUGUCCGGCUUGGGGCCGACCGACCCGAAGGGUACGUCCGGGGUAGGAGUGAAAUCCUGUAAUCCUGGACGGACCGCCGGUGGCGAAAGCGCCUCGGGAGGACGGACCCGACGGUGAGGGACGAAAGCCAGGGUCUCGAACCGGAUUAGAAACCCGAGUAGUCC